rnacentral:rRNA from 1 species
CCUUAGAUGUUCUGGGCCGCACGCGCGCUACACUGACAGAGCCAACGAGUAUAAACCUUAACCGAGAGGUUUGGGUAAUCUUGUUAAACUCUGUCGUGCUGGGGAUAGAGCAUUGCAAUUAUUGCUCUUCAACGAGGAAUAUCUAGUAAGCGCAAGUCAUCAGCUUGCGUUGAUUACGUCCCUGCCCUUUGUACACACCGCCCGUCGCUACUACCGAUUGAAUGGCUCAGUGAGGCCUUCGGACUGGCUCAGGAAGGUCGGCAACGACCAUCCAGAGCCGGAAAGUUGGUCAAACUUGGUCAUUUAGAGGAAGUAAAAGUCGUAACAAGGUUUGAAUUCUUGCAAAGAUUCAGCUGAUUCUUCUGCAGUGACGCUUAUGAGAAGCCUUUGUGACCCUGCAAAGGGUACCUGCCGCGACUAUAAAAAAGAAUGUGGGUUAUAAAACGCAAGUCGGUUGUUGAAACCGGCCACACUUUCGAAUUGCGGGGACGCCCUAAAGCCAGCUUCUACUAAACCGUUGGGAGAAAUCCUGCGGUGGCCUGUGCUAACACCACAGGGUACAGUAAGAACGAAGCUGGAUGCUUGCAAUGGGUUAUCCGCAGCCAAACUCCUAACGUACAAAUGUGCCAAGGAGCAGGUUCACAGACUAAGUGGAAGUGGGCUGAAGUAGUUCAGCUUAAGAUAUAGUCGGUCCCUUAAAGAAAUUUAUGGGGAGUCACAAGAACUAAAGUUAUGGUUAUUUUUGGAUAACCUAGGGCUGGUCCCGCAGCUUUAUUUCUAAACUUAAACGUUCCGUAGGUGAACCUGCGGAAGGAUCAUUAAUAAACAAAUCUGCAGUAUGGUUAGCCCAGCUGUGGUGUUUAAACCAAUUGUGAACCAAAAAACAUACCUUUGCUUCGGUAGCAGGUUGGUCUGACUCUCUGGGUUGGGCCAGCUCGUCAGCCUGCCGGAGGUUUACUCCAAACUUGUUUUUAAACUAGUCUGAAAACCAUAUUUUCGAAUGAAAAUUAAAACUUUCAACAACGGAUCUCUUGGUUCUCGCAUCGAUGAAGAACGCAGCGAAACGCGAUAGUUAAUGUGAAUUGCAGAAUUCAGUGAAUCAUCGAGUCUUUGAACGCACAUUGCGCCCCUUGGUAUUCCGAUGGGCAUGUCUGUUUGAGCGUCAUUUCAACUCUCUGUACCAGUUAAUUUUGGUUCAGGUCCUGGGCUUUGGUUUUCAAGCUUCACCGCUCGAACCUGGCUUUAAAUUUGCACGCUCUGCGGGUGACCUCCUACCUGACCGAACAUAGUAAAUUUUGAAUUGUUCUACCUGGUUUUUGGUGCACUCUGCCUGAACAACCAUAAUUUUUUAGGUUUGACCUCAGAUCAGACAAGGAUACCCGCUGAACUUAAGCAUAUCAAUAAGCGGAGGAAAAGAAACCAACAGGGAUUGCCUCAGUAACGGCGAGUGAAGCGGCAACAGCUCAAAUUUGAAAUCUGAAGUUUUUGACUUCCGAGUUGUAAUUUGAAGAGGAUGCUUCGGUUGUAGCUUGGGCCUAAGUUCCUUGGAACAGGACGUCGUAGAGGGUGAGAAUCCCGUACACGGCUACCGGCUUUCAAUCAUGUGUAGCUCCUUCGAAGAGUCGAGUUGUUUGGGAAUGCAGCUCAAAAUGGGUGGUAAAUUUCAUCUAAAGCUAAAUACUGGCGAGAGACCGAUAGCGCACAAGUAGAGUGAUCGAAAGAUGAAAAGCACUUUGAAAAGAGAGUUAAACAGUACGUGAAAUUGUUGAAAGGGAAGCGUUUGCAAUCAGACUUACUUUCGGUUGAUCAACGUUCCUUCUGGUUCGUGCACUCUGCCGUUUGUAGGCCAGCAUCGGUUAGAGCGGUGGGACAAAGGCUCCAGGAAUGUGGCUCUCUUCGGGGAGUGUUAUAGCCUGGUGCGUAAUGCCACCUGUUCUGACCGAGGUCCGCGCUUUUGCUAGGAUGCUGGCAUAAUGAUUGUAAACGAC